rnacentral:rRNA from 1 species
UGCGUAGGCGGUUUGGUAAGUCUUGUGUGAAAUCUAUGGGCUCAACUCAUAGUCUGCACGAGAAACUGCCGGGCUUGAGUGUGGGAGAGGUGAGUGGAAUUUCCGGUGUAGCGGUGAAAUGCGUAGAUAUCGGAAGGAACACCUGUGGCGAAAGCGGCUCACUGGACCACAACUGACGCUGAUGCACGAAAGCUAGGGGAGCAAACAGGAUUAGAUACCCUGGUAGUCCUAGCCCUAAACGAUGACUGCUUGGUGUGACGGGUACCCAAUCCCGCCGUGCCGUAGCUAACGCGUUAAGCAGUCCGCCUGGGGAGUACGGUCGCAAGGCUGAA